rnacentral:rRNA from 1 species
GACGAACGCUGGCGGCGUGCUUAACACAUGCAAGUCGAACGGAAAGGCCCUGCUUUUGUGGGGUGCUCGAGUGGCGAACGGGUGAGUAACACGUGAGUAACCUGCCCUUGACUUUGGGAUAACUUCAGGAAACUGGGGCUAAUACCGGAUAGGAGCUCCUGCUGCAUGGUGGGGGUUGGAAAGUUUCGGCGGUUGGGAUGGAAUUGGUGGUUAUCAGCUUGUUGGUGGGGUAGUUGCUUACCAAGGCUUUGACGGGUAGCCGGCCUGAGAGGGUGACCGGCCACAUUGGGACUGAGAUACGGCCCAGACUCCUACGGGAGGCAGCAGUGGGGAAUAUUGCACAAUGGGCGGAAGCCUGAUGCAGCAACGCCGCGUGCGGGAUGACGGCCUUCGGGUUGUAAACCGCUUUCGCCUGUGACGAAGCGUGAGUGACGGUAAUGGGUAAAGAAGCACCGGCUAACUACGUG